UGGUCGGGUUGAAGAGCGUAGUGCUGUAGCUUCCCGGGGGUCUGGAGUACCGUGAGGGGUUGGUGUUGCUCUGGAUGGGGAUGUCUGGCUGCCUUAGUGCUUCCCGCAGGAUGGGUGUUAUUUAAGAGUUGGGGUUAAAGGAACGAGGGGAUAAAUUCGUUUCCUAAACGAUUUCUUUAUUUUUUUUUUUCAGCCAGCCUGACCUACUUAAUUUCUGACUAAGUUAGAAGAAGCUUUCCCUCGAGGUUUCUUUGUUUUUUUACCCAUUUCAGUAAACAGCUUGAUCCAGGAAAGCAGUCAAUAAAAAGACAAAUGAGUGAUCUGAUAGCUCCGUGCAGAUAAGCAAGGGAAGGGACCAGUGAAAUUACCACAGUGUUAACUUGUAGCUUCCCACAGGGGCUUGUCAGGCAUCUUUAAUCUAAAGAAAGAAUUACAGCAAAGAACUGUGUAUUUACUAGACAGCUAACACAAGUACAACAUUUUAUAACUGGCUACUUCACCCUUGGCCUGGACUUCCUGCGCAGAACUUAUUGUGGUUGGUUUUACAGACAACUUUGUCCCUCCCUUUCCACUGGAGUUUUUGGAGUUCUCCCAGCCACAUGCAUCUUUGUUCCUCGGUGUGUAUGGCCUGUAAUCACAACUUAACAGAUAAAGUGGCUUUUAUACCCCAUUGUAUGGUAACUGCUGAGUCACAGCCUGAACCACUGAUUGAGCACCUGGGGAAAGGAGCCGGUCAGCCCUGGGAGCACAGGUGAAGGCAAUUCAACUGUGUGACUGGAGGGGGUGGAGCCUGGCUGCAUCUCUCUUAGACCUCAUUUCAGGGCUGAUUGCUGCUUGAGAAGGAUUUUUUGGUUGGUGAUCUCUUCUGGGUGAAGCUUUCCCCUCCAAACCUAGUGUCUUCUGAUGCGGGUGAGUGAUCUUCUUUCCUUCGUUUAUUGGACUUUUCUAUUUUGCUGGUUCUUCUGUUAUUGCACAUGCCCUUCCCAUUACAUUGAUCCAUCCAGAUUCUGUGCCCACUAAGUUGAUAGUUCUGUUUGGUUGAAGCCAGCAGUUGGUCUCAGUAAUCAUUGUGGGUCCCCUACAACUCAGGGCAUUCAGUGACUGCAAGAUGCUAAUCAGCAUAAAUGAAGUUGUCAGUAGGAUCCAUAAAUUGUUUUCUUGUUCUUUAGUAUGCUUACUUUGGGUUAAAGCUUUUGAUGGCUCAAGGUCAGAAGAGACCAUUAUGCAUAUCUGCUCAUAUCUGUGUGUAACAGGUAUUGUGAAAUAUUACCCACUAAUACAAUGUGAAGUGUAAUACAUUACAGUUAGUUGAAGCUUUGUCUUUUAGAGAACUAUCAAAAUGGGUUGUUGGAAAAUAUGCUAUUUCAAUAAAAUAUUCUAGUAGUUAAUUGCCUUCAUCUAAAAUUUGAAUCUUCUUCCUUGUUUAGAUUUUUCAAGCUUUGAUUUUCAACCAGUGAAUCUUGUUAUGUCUUUAAUUAAAUAAACCUGAUGCUGAUCUGAUUAAUCUGAUAAUAUGCUUGCCUAUAUUUGUGUCAAUAUGAAAGAAAUGCCUGUAUGUUUUUCUCCAUUUACAUCUCCACCCUCACAACAGUUGUCAGUUUAAGGGAGAUCCUGUACCCCUUCUUUUCUGAGGAAAAGUGAGACAUUGGUAGUUACUUUUCUUUUUCUAGCCAAGGAAAGAACAAAGGAAAUAGUUUUUACCUGCUGCAUUCCUCUUGGUGCCACCUGUUAUUUUGUCCAGCCAAAGAAAGAAAGAAAGUCCUAGUGAGUAAACACGCACUCUAUCCUGUGUUAAAAUCCAUAGAAACCCUGGUGUGGCUGUCAGUUGUUUCUUAUUUGAAGUGAAAAACAAAACCCUCUUUCUGUAUUAGCAGUUAAUGGCAUUGACAUUGCUGAAUGGUCAAUUCAGUUCAGUAUC